rnacentral:rRNA from 1 species
UAAAAGUCGUAACAAGGNNNCCGUAGGUGAACCUGCGGAAGGAUCAUUAUUGAAUUUUCAAAGAGGUUGUUGCUGGCUCCUUCCCGGAGCAAUGUGCACGCCUCGACAUCCACAUCUUCACCCCUUGUGCACUCUUUGUAGGAUCGAAGAAAUUUGGUCCUAUGUUUUAUAACACCCUUGAAUGUUCCUUUGAACAAAUUGUAUUAUUAUAAAUAAUAACUUAUACAACUUUCAACAACGGAUCUCUUGGCUCUCGCAUCGAUGAAGAACGCAGCGAAAUGCGAUAAGUAAUGUGAAUUGCAGAAUUCAGUGAAUCAUCGAAUCUUUGAACGCACCUUGCGCUCCUUGGUGUCCACACUGAGGAGCAUGCCUGUUUGAGUGUCGUGAAAUCCUCAACCUCGUUUGAUUUUUUGUCUGACGAGUUUGGAUCAUGGAGUGUGCCGGCUGAAAGGUUGGCUCCUCUGAAAUGCAUUAGUGAAACCUUUCAAACGGAAAUGGGCUUUGGUUUGAUAAUUGCUUGUCUAUGCCAUUGCCUUGCCGUGAUGCUUUCGCUUAAAUAACUGUCUUCGGACAAUUGACACCAUUUGACCUCAAAUCAGGGAGGACUACCCGCUGAACUUAAGCAUAUCAAUAAGCGGAGGAA